rnacentral:rRNA from 1 species
GGUAGAGCACUGUUUCGGCUAGGGGGCCAUCCCGGCUUACCAACCCGAUGCAAACUGCGAAUACCGGAGAAUGUUAUCACGGGAGACACACGGCGGGUGCUAAUGUCCGUCGUGAAGAGGGAAACAACCCAGACCGCCAGCUAAGGUCCCAAAGUCAUGGUUAAGUGGGAAACGAUGUGGGAAGGCCCAGACAGCCAGGAUGUUGGCUUAGAAGCAGCCAUCAUUUAAAGAAAGCGUAAUAGCUCACUGGUCGAGUCGGCCUGCGCGGAAGAUGUAACGGGGCUAAACCAUGCACCGAAGCUGCGGCAGCGACACCGUGUGUUGUUGGGUAGGGGAGCGUUCUGUAAGCCUGUGAAGGUGUGCUGUGAGGCAUGCUGGAGGUAUCAGAAGUGCGAAUGCUGACAUAAGUAACGAUAAAGCGGGUGAAAAGCCCGCUCGCCGGAAGACCAAGGGUUCCUGUCCAACGUUAAUCGGGGCAGGGUGAGUCGACCCCUAAGGCGAGGCCGAAAGGCGUAGUCGAUGGGAAACGGGUUAAUAUUCCCGUACUUGGUGUUACUGCGAAGGGGGGACGGAGAAGGCUAUGUUGGCCGGGCGACGGUUGUCCCGGUUUAAGCGUGUAGGUAUGUGUUCCAGGUAAAUCCGGUUCACUUUAACACUGAGGCGUGACGACGAGGCACUACGGUGCUGAAGCAACAAAUGCCCUGCUUCCAGGAAAAGCCUCUAAGCAUCAGGUAACAUCAAAUCGUACCCCAAACCGACACAGGUGGUCAGGUAGAGAAUACCAAGGCGCUUGAGAGAACUCGGGUGAAGGAACUAGGCAAAAUGGUGCCGUAACUUCGGGAGAAGGCACGCUGACACGUAGGUGAAGUGAUUUACUCACGGAGCUGAAGUCAGCCGAAGAUACCAGCUGGCUGCAACUGUUUAUUAAAAACACAGCACUGUGCAAACACGAAAGUGGACGUAUACGGUGUGACGCCUGCCCGGUGCCGGAAGGUUAAUUGAUGGGGUCAGCGCAAGCGAAGCUCCUGAUCGAAGCCCCGGUAAACGGCGGCCGUAACUAUAACGGUCCUAAGGUAGCGAAAUUCCUUGUCGGGUAAGUUCCGACCUGCACGAAUGGCGUAAUGAUGGCCAGGCUGUCUCCACCCGAGACUCAGUGAAAUUGAACUCGCUGUGAAGAUGCAGUGUACCCGCGGCAAGACGGAAAGACCCCGUGAACCUUUACUAUAGCUUGACACUGAACAUUGAGCCUUGAUGUGUAGGAUAGGUGGGAGGCUUUGAAGUGUGGACGCCAGUCUGCAUGGAGCCGACCUUGAAAUACCACCCUUUAAUGUUUGAUGUUCUAACGUGGACCCGUGAUCCGGGUUGCGGACAGUGUCUGGUGGGUAGUUUGACUGGGGCGGUCUCCUCCUAAAGAGUAACGGAGGAGCACGAAGGUUGGCUAAUCCUGGUCGGACAUCAGGAGGUUAGUGCAAUGGCAUAAGCCAGCUUGACUGCGAGCGUGACGGCGCGAGCAGGUGCGAAAGCAGGUCAUAGUGAUCCGGUGGUUCUGAAUGGAAGGGCCAUCGCUCAACGGAUAAAAGGUACUCCGGGGAUAACAGGCUGAUACCGCCCAAGAGUUCAUAUCGACGGCGGUGUUUGGCACCUCGAUGUCGGCUCAUCACAUCCUGGGGCUGAAGUAGGUCCCAAGGGUAUGGCUGUUCGCCAUUUAAAGUGGUACGCGAGCUGGGUUUAGAACGUCGUGAGACAGUUCGGUCCCUAUCUGCCGUGGGCGCUGGAGAACUGAGGGGGGCUGCUCCUAGUACGAGAGGACCGGAGUGGACGCAUCACUGGUGUUCGGGUUGUCAUGCCAAUGGCACUGCCCGGUAGCUAAAUGCGGAAGAGAUAAGUGCUGAAAGCAUCUAAGCACGAAACUUGCCCCGAGAUGAGUUCUCCCUGAGACUUUAGGUCUCCUGAAGGAACGUUGAAGACGACGACGUUGAUAGGCCGGGUGUGUAAGCGCAGCGAUGCGUUGAGCUAACCGGUACUAAUGAACCGUGAGGCUUAACCUU